rnacentral:rRNA from 1 species
GAUGAACGCUGGCGGCGUGCCUAAUACAUGCAAGUCGAGCGAACGGACGAGAAGCUUGCUUCUCUGAUGUUAGCGGCGGACGGGUGAGUAACACGUGGAUAACCUACCUAUAAGACUGGGAUAACUUCGGGAAACCGGAGCUAAUACCGGAUAAUAUUUUGAACCGCAUGGUUCAAAAGUGAAAGACGGUCUUGCUGUCACUUAUAGAUGGAUCCGCGCUGCAUUAGCUAGUUGGUAAGGUAACGGCUUACCAAGGCAACGAUGCAUAGCCGACCUGAGAGGGUGAUCGGCCACACUGGAACUGAGACACGGUCCAGACUCCUACGGGAGGCAGCAGUAGGGAAUCUUCCGCAAUGGGCGAAAGCCUGACGGAGCAACGCCGCGUGAGUGAUGAAGGUCUUCGGAUCGUAAAACUCUGUUAUUAGGGAAGAACAUAUGUGUAAGUAACUGUGCACAUCUUGACGGUACCUAAUCAGAAAGCCACGGCUAACUACGUGCCAGCAGCCGCGGUAAUACGUAGGUGGCAAGCGUUAUCCGGAAUUAUUGGGCGUAAAGCGCGCGUAGGCGGUUUUUUAAGUCUGAUGUGAAAGCCCACGGCUCAACCGUGGAGGGUCAUUGGAACCUGGAAAACUUGAGUGCAGAAGAGGAAAGUGGAAUUCCAUGUGUAGCGGUGAAAUGCGCAGAGAUAUGGAGGAACACCAGUGGCGAAGGCGACUUUCUGGUCUGUAACUGACGCUGAUGUGCGAAAGCGUGGGGAUCAAACAGGAUUAGAUACCCUGGUAGUCCACGCCGUAAACGAUGAGUGCUAAGUGUUAGGGGGUUUCCGCCCCUUAGUGCUGCAGCUAACGCAUUAAGCACUCCGCCUGGGGAGUACGACCGCAAGGUUGAAACUCAAAGGAAUUGACGGGGACCCGCACAAGCGGUGGAGCAUGUGGUUUAAUUCGAAGCAACGCGAAGAACCUUACCAAAUCUUGACAUCCUUUGACAACUCUAGAGAUAGAGCUUUCCCCUUCGGGGGACAAAGUGACAGGUGGUGCAUGGUUGUCGUCAGCUCGUGUCGUGAGAUGUUGGGUUAAGUCCCGCAACGAGCGCAACCCUUAAGCUUAGUUGCCAUCAUUAAGUUGGGCACUCUAAGUUGACUGCCGGUGACAAACCGGAGGAAGGUGGGGAUGACGUCAAAUCAUCAUGCCCCUUAUGAUUUGGGCUACACACGUGCUACAAUGGACAAUACAAAGGGCAGCGAAACCGCGAGGUCAAGCAAAUCCCAUAAAGUUGUUCUCAGUUCGGAUUGUAGUCUGCAACUCGACUACAUGAAGCUGGAAUCGCUAGUAAUCGUAGAUCAGCAUGCUACGGUGAAUACGUUCCCGGGUCU